rnacentral:rRNA from 1 species
AUUGAACGCUGGCGGCAGGCCUAACACAUGCAAGUCGAGCGAGCGGCGGACGGGUGAGUAAUGUAUGUGGACUGCCCGCGAGCGGGGGAUAACUACUGGAAACGGUCGCUAAUACCGCAUACUCUCGUGUAACCCUUAUGGGAUUAGCUAGUAGGGGGGGUAACGGAUCACCUAGGCGAGGAUCCCUAGCGUGUCUGAGAGGAGGAUCAGCCACAAUGGGACUGAGACACGGCCCAGACUCCUACGGAGGCAGCAGUGGGGAAUAUUGCACAAUGGGCGCAAGCCUGAUGCAGCCAUGCCGCGUGUAUGAAGAAGGCCUUAGGGUGGUAAAGUACUUUCAGUCGGGAGGCGUUACCGACAGAAGAAGCACCGGCUAACUCCGUGCCAGCAGCCGCGGUAAUAC